GACGAACGCUGGCGGCGUGCUUAACACAUGCAAGUCGAACGAUGACAACCGAGCUUGCCCGGUCUGAUGAGUGGCGAACGCGUGUGUAACACGUGAGCAACCUGCCCUUCACUCUGGGAUAACCCCGGGAAAUCGGGGCUCAUACCGGAUAUGAGCUCUUGUCGCACGUCGGGCGUUGGAAAGUUUUUCGGUGACAGAUGGGUUUGCAGCCUAUCAGUUUGUUGGUGAAGUAGGGGCAGACCACGGCGUUGGCGGGUAGCCGGCCCGAGCGGGCGGACGCGCACCAGGGGACUGCGGCACGGACCAGAAGCGAACCGGACGCAGUAGGGGGGAGUAUUGCACAAUGGGCGAGAGCCUGAUGCAGCGACGCUGCGUUAGUGAUGACGGCCUUCGGGUUGUAAACCACUUUGAGCAGGGAAGAAGCGAUAGUGACGGUACCUGCAGAAGAAGCGCCGGCUAACUACGUG
rnacentral:rRNA from 1 species